UGCGAUGUUUGUGUCAAUUACAGAAGUCAGACCGCGCAAACAAGACGGAUAAACAAGCCCAGAGAUUGCGCCUGUGGUCCGGCCGAUUGUUGGCGCGGAGGGCGGAACCUCACACCGAACAAAAAAGCUUCCGAACCCAGACACAUAAAUUUUACAACCGGCGCGCCGCCUUGAAAGGAACAGGACGGGGUGUUUGUUGAGAAAUUAGGGAGGAUUCAAUUAGCGGGUUUGCGACAGGCCCGCAGAUGUCUGGACUUGUGAAAAUCUGUCGCACAGAACUUCGCGUUUCGGCGAGGAAUGUUUCCAACAGACGCGCUUUUCUCUCAAGUCGUCUCGUCUUUGUCAAAACAAGCGCAAAAGUUCUUAAAAAGUCACCGGCAAUGUGUCCACUUGGCCUAAAAUAAAUAAAGCCGCCCGCUGUCGGGAAGAGGGUAGCUACUAUUGGUCCAAUUGUGGGUAAUUGAGUUUUAUGGCUUCAACUUGUGAGGUUGCAUACGUAAUGAUGUGUUAGAGUCUGGAAAGUUUUCCGGUGUCAGUCGGCACUCAUGUUCAGUACGUGUGGGCUCAUAUGUCAAGGAAUAGCGCUUCUGGUCUAAAUUACUGACUGAUGAGGGUAAAAGGGGCUUCUUUCGCGACCCGCUUUGCAAGAAGGGCUGAAAUUCGGAGACGCAGGAUGGAUAGUUUUCUUAGCGACAGGGAACUUCUCAGGAGGGUGUUAGAUAGACACCAAGUGCAACUGGAAAGAGCGAUCGGUCGCUCCUUAUGCGGUGCGCGCUACAACUCUUCAAACGGUAGAGGGAGGACUACCGUUAGUUGAAAGUUUGAACGCGCACAGGAUUGUCUGAAAGUUCUGUUCCCCCCGGACGUGGUCACCUUUUGAACUUGGAUUGACCGGAGAUGUGCGGAAGUCUACGGGGACAUGGGGAAGGUACAGGGUUGAGGCUUGUGCGACCGGCGACUGUUCCCUAGCCUUCUCGGCGCUAGAACGUACCUCAUGCCGUACGGAUUACCACCAAGGGCCCUUAAGUUAAGAGAAGGUGCGCGGGAGACCCCACAUGUUCUGAAGAGGAUGCCCCCUUUUACGGGCAAACCAGUCGCAAGCCGGUAAAUUUUAUGCCAAGUUCAGUGAGUGUGCCGUGAUUUUCCAGCAGUAUGGGGUGAAACGUACUGUAAAGGAGAGACCAAAGUCACCGGGACAGAUAGGACGGUGUCUCGGAGGAUCCUACCACCGCCCCGGCCUGUGUGCUACAGACGGUGAUACCAGGGUUAGUUCUACAUAACAAAGAGUCACCAGGUUGGUGUGGAUACAACAACACAUCAUCUGCACACCUCUGUGCUACCGUCACUACCACAGGCAGCUGGCUUCAGGAAAAUUAGCAUAUCUAAACAUGUAUUAUCAGUAAAUGCUUGAAGGCAAGCAAUCCUAAAAAACGUUACUUUCCCCCUUCUCUAUUCGCAGAGCUUUUUUUUUAUAGAAAAGAAGUUAUUCCAGCUUUUCUUAUGCCUUAUUACGAAAAAAUCCACAUUUUUUAAAAUUUUACAUUCUUGCUGCUUUCACUUAUCAUUAAUGUUAUUUAUUACUUAAAAAGAAAAGUGCCCAUACAUUAGACCUGUUUCUCGAUAUUUAUUACAAAAACGACAUGUUUCAAAGUAAGUGUAGGUAUAUAUUUACAUUUGUAUCGAAAUGGAUAUAAUAAAUAUGUAUUGGUAUAAACAUUAACUUGUUAUGACAUUUAUCUGAAUACAAGUAUUGAAAUUAUGCAUUCUAUGAAGCUGAAUAUGAUAAAUAUAAUACA